UCGAGAGUUUGAUCCUGGCUCAGGACGAACGCUAGCGGCAGGCUUAACACAUGCAAGUCGAGGGGUAUAGUUCUUCGGAGCUAGAGACCGGCGCACGGGUGCGUAACGCGUAUGCAAUCUACCUUUUACAGAGGGAUAGCCCAGAGAAAUUUGGAUUAAUACCUCAUAGUAUGUGAGAAUCGCAUGGUUUUUCACAUUAAAGUCACAACGGUAAAAGAUGAGCAUGCGUCCCAUUAGCUUGUUGGUGAGGUAAUGGCUCACCAAGGCGACGACGGGUAGCCGGCCUGAGAGGGCGACCGGCCACACUGGGGACUGAGACACGGCCCAGACUCCUACGGGGAGGCAGCAGUGGGGAAUAUUGGGGCAAUGGAGGAAACUCUGACCCCAGCGACGCCGCGUGCGGGAUGAAGG
rnacentral:rRNA from 1 species